rnacentral:rRNA from 1 species
UACGUAGGUCCCGAGCGUUGUCCGGAUUUAUUGGGCGUAAAGCGAGCGCAGGUGGUUUAUUAAGUCUGGUGUAAAAGGCAGUGGCUCAACCAUUGUAUGCAUUGGAAACUGGUAAACUUGAGUGCAGGAGAGGAGAGUGGAAUUCCAUGUGUAGCGGUGAGAUGCGUAGAUAUAUGGAGGAACACCGGUGGCGAAAGCGGCUCUCUGGCCUGUAACUGACACUGAGGCUCGAAAGCGUGGGGAGCAAACAGG